rnacentral:lncRNA from 1 species
CAUAAAUAUUUUGGGUUUUUCAUUUUCUCCAUAAAUAUUUUUUUCAUAGACAGCUAAAAAUUGUGUAUCUGUACAUCUCAAUGAUCUCAUAUUUGCCUUCACUAUACAGCUAUCUUUCUCUCUCUAAAUUAGAAGCCAAGUCUUCUUUUCAGCUCUUCUGAGGUCCCUCUUUCAUCUACACAGAACCCAACAAAAACAAUUCACCCACCAAAGCUUUUAUGAAGAGAAAAAAAACCAGCCUUUCAAAAAACAAUUAAUAACAAUAAAGGGUAUUGUUAGACGACGAUUGAUGAUAUUUGGGCCUAGUUAGAAUUGGGAGUGAUAUGAUUAUUUACAAAUUACAAUGAUCUUUAUGAAAGGGAGACUUGGAGGAGCCAGAAAAUAAGGAAAUAUAUAGUAUAUACUCACUCUAGCACUGGAGUGUGGAUGUCCGAUGAUCGGCAACGGGAAAAUGAAGAUCAUCGUCGACGAUUUGAGAGAAAUAGAUGGGAGACAGAUAAAGGCUUGUCGACUUUGAGGCGGGAUUGAAGACGUGAGACAAGUGAGUAAAGUUUAGGGCUUUUUUUCUCAUUUUAUUUCAUUUUUUC